rnacentral:rRNA from 1 species
UGGGUGAUCUGCCCUGCACUUUGGGAUAAGCCUGGGAAACUGGGUCUAAUACCGAAUAGGACUACGGCCUGCAUGGCUUGUGGUGGAAAGCUUUUGCGGUGUGGGAUGGGCCCGCGGCCUAUCAGCUUGUUGGUGGGGUUUUGGCCUACCAAGGCGACGACGGGUAGCCGGCCUGAGAGGGUGUCCGGCCACACUGGGACUGAGAUACGGCCCAGACUCCUACGGGAGGCA